rfam:Streptomyces turgidiscabies Car8 gcontig_1113219321333, whole genome shotgun sequence.
CUUCAACGACCCCAGAUACAAAGGCCGUUGACGGUCCCGUCCGUAGGUCGCCAGCAGCGCCUGCGCCUC